AUGGAUCGAAAGAGAAACUGGUUCCUUUGAUCUCAAUGUCACUAUCACAAGAUGGAGAACUUAUGGACAUUUUCAUUAGUUUACGAUAUUUACCUUCAAAGUUCCGUUUUCCAGGAAUGGAAAAUAAAGUACUUUCAUAUUGAUCGUAGGUUAUAGGUUGCCAUGCAGAUGAAAGUGCUAGUUUAUUGUAUUUGAUGUUUUACCUUUUAUGUUUGCUUGGAAUUUAUGUAUGAAUUAUCUGCUGGUGUUACAGAUUCCUGCGAGUAGAUGCAUUG
rnacentral:misc_RNA from 1 species